CUGUAGCGUGGAUCUCGGUUUCACUGCACAUUUGUCAUCGAUUUACCGUGCGUCUCUCUCUUCAUGCUAAGGAACACGGCAUCUUACAUUCGGCAUCAGUCACCCUGGUAUCCAGGUCUGUCUCCAUUACAGCAACACGGCACUAUAAUUAGCCAGGUAUCUCCGGCAGUAAUGAUGAGUGGGAGACGAGGCUGGCAUCUACCUGCUAAGGGCUGGAGACGCCGGGCUCUGGAGCCAGAGUAGCACGCCGAGGAACCACGCCGCUCAUCAAACGGGAUAAUUAGAGUGUGUAUGGAGAUGUGAUUCCAGGUAGGAGGUGACACGGAGCACGGGAGAGGACAUGGUCUGCACACUCACCACCUUUCCUCAAACACUAAAUGGACCAGGACCGACGUCGGAGGCUGAGCAAGACAAGGGGCGACGGCAGAAGGACAAGAUAUCGCUCGGCUCCCGUGUAUUUUAUAAAAUAGACAAAAGGAGAACCAGAAAUAAUAAGAGCAAAGAAAGAUUUAGUGGCAACAUCAAAUGCCGCACAGUAAGAGCAGGACGUACAGAUAUAUAAAGGCACAACUAUCACAUCUCAAUGCACUCAAGGUGUGGUUGUUUGGUGUCUAGGACUUGGUGCAGUACGGAGACUGACGGAUGACCUCAUGCAGUAAUUCCCCAGUGGUGUGUCCUUCCCUUUGAGAGAGACAGAGGAAGAACAACAGAAAGAAAGACGUACGUACGGACAGACAGACAAACACGCUCAGGACGAUGAUGUUUAAGGUGACGGGGAUGAUGGUGGCGGCUCGUCCAUGUAAAUCCCAUAUCUGCUGUUUGCACAGCCUGAAAACCACAGCGUCCCUCCCCCAGACGGCCGCCCGACACGUCUGCGCCGGUCAGCGGGAUACAAGACGCACUCACGCGCCAUUCCAGCAAACAAACCAACAAGUGUUGCCAUAGUAAUUGCAGCGAAUGGUAGAUAAGCGCCAGGAGAAAACACGGCGUCGUGGAAGAAGACCUCUGCGCAAGCUUUACAGUCGGAAUUCCAGGCACGUGUGACAAGCACCACAUGGAUCCACCUCACAUUUGACGUGAAGACGCUAAAGCCACUGCAGGUCCUCGCCACGAAGAUCAAGCUCGGCUUGAAAGAUAUUUCUCUUUAAUAUUCUGAAACUGGGUAAUCUCACCAUGAUAAUGGUCACGGGCCAAAUCAACGAGUUCCAGUAGAGGUUAGUUCACAACUCAAUAUCUGGCUUUUUAUUUAUCCAAAAAAAAAAAAAGAAUCUUGGCUGGUGGUUUUCACACACCUCCCACAGUGCUCUUCUUCUAAACAAAUGGAUUCACACAACAUCUGCUGGGGAAAUACAUGUCUCAUUUUCAAUGUCGUAUAGUUGUCUUUUAUUAUUGUGUUGCAGAAUGCAGUAAGUACAGCUGUCUCCUUCGAUUACAAUGGUUCAAACUGUUUUACUUGCAAUCGACCUUGGUAAAAUCGGGACGGGUAAUAUGUCAUAGGUGUACUACUACAAGCAGAGGCUUCGACCGGUCAAUCAAUAAUACCAUUUUGUUGAUCCUGAUUUAAAUGCCUUUCAUAGAUGAUAGAAUGAAAGGAGGUAUAAAGUUUAUGCCUGUUCUGUUUUGACAGCAAUGUCCCGGCCGAUAAAACUGGCUUAAUCACA